GCAACACAAUCAGUGCGUUGUUUCAAGAUGGCGGAGCGAAUUGCAUGGUUAUUGUUUCUACUCGAUGGAUUCGCAGAUAAUUCGGAAAUAGAUCAGAUUGGGAUCAAUAACUGUAUUGCAUACGAUCAUUUACAUGUAUUACCAGGUGUGUGUUGCCAGUAAUGGUUGAAGAUAUGCCAAACAAAUUGUGCCUCUCUAUACAGACAGAUUUCAGGUCUCAAUUUCGACUUCAAAGGUCAACAUAUCACUGAUAUCAGGAAUUCUGUACAACUGUGGAACCAUGUAUGGUACGUGACCGCACAAUGUUGGUUGGCAAAAGGAUAUUGGAAUAAGCAAAGGGACUCAACAUUACACAGUCAUUUCAACAUGUAGAGUCUUGUCAGCAAUGAUGGAGCAGUACUUCAGAUUUCCAGAAUCUCGUCAUGAGCUGAAGAUCAUUGCCUAUGAAUUUCCUGAAUGAUGUAGAAUGAUUGGACUGUUGAUGGAACCCACAGUGCAUGUCCUGCUUCAACAUCUGAGCAUAGGUCCUUGUUUAUCAGCAGUUUAGUUCUUCAAGCAGUCUGUGACAGUUACUUGAAAUGUUUGGACAUAUGACCUGGAUGGCCAAGUUCUGUGCAUGAUGCCCAUUUAAAUAGGAACGGCCCAGUGGCGCAUUAAAUGGACAUUUUUCGAAUGUUCUCAAGGAUUCAGCUUACCGCCUGACAAGAAAUCUUGCUUUUUGUUCAGUAUCGAGGCCAUGGACAUUUGUAUCAUUUGCAAAAGAUACUGCGAUAUUUGUGCCUUUGUUCAUGCUUUAUAGUUGAUUAACAAUUGGAAGCCAUAACCUGUUUUUAAGAUGGUGUUAGUGGGACAAUGAAUUUUGUAAAGAUUUAAAGACUGGAAAAGAUAAUUAAAAGUCAAAAGAGUUCUGCUAUUGUUAAGCAUGCUUUAUUGAUUUGUAAUGUUAGAAAGAUAGCAUUAUUAACAGAAUAAAAUGUCCAUAAUUUGAA